rnacentral:snRNA from 1 species
GGAUGGGAAAGUGCUCUGGUUGGCUGGCUGUCACCCCUUUGGGGACAUUGGCUAGGCAGUAUCCUCUUCCCUCGUUCCUCCACAUGUCCCUCCUGAAGCUGCAUGCUUGGUUGAAGAGGGUGGUCUUUCCUAAUGGAAGAGNACUGUUCCUUGGUCAAGGGUACAUAUGCAGCUCACUCCCCNGGUGGAACCUCCAAGCUCCCAAAGACAGUCUCCAGGGACUAGAAGAGCUCUAUUUUAGGAUAACUCCUGAAGGAAUGGCUGUUUACUAGUUGUAUUCCAACCA